GUCGAUUGUUAUGGCUUUAUUAACAGCAGCAUCAGCAGUGCCACGAGCAGGAGCAAUAUCAUACAAAAUAAAAUAGCAAUAAUAAUAAACAUAUUAACAAGAAUGACACGGCCCCCGGGGCACACUGUGACAGCAAAUGGAGACUGAAUGAAAGCCACCACCGGGUCUGGUCGGGUCUGGUCGGGUCGGAUCGGGUCGCGUCCGUGCACUCUGCACCGCGCCUGAAAGUCAAACCACAUCUGCUCCUCUGACAAUGGACUCAUUACAAAGGGCCAAAGCCACAUGCACUCCUCUUUUUACGCACACACAUAUUGUUUAAGCAAAAUCACAUUAAAUAUGCAAUCGCAUUAAAAGUGAAGUCUGAAUAAAUAUCAAAGGCGACACGACA
rnacentral:lncRNA from 1 species